UAGGGAAUCUUCGGCAAUGGACGAAAGUCUGACCGAGCAACGCCGCGUGAGUGAAGAAGGUUUUCGGAUCGUAAAACUCUGUUGUUAGAGAAGAACAAGGACGUUAGUAACUGAACGUCCCCUGACGGUAUCUAACCAGAAAGCCACGGCUAACUACGUGCCAGCAGCCGCGGUAAUACGUAGGUGGCAAGCGUUGUCCGGAUUUAUUGGGCGUAAAGCGAGCGCAGGCGGUUUCUUAAGUCUGAUGUGAAAGCCCCCGGCUCAACCGGGGAGGGUCAUUGGAAACUGGGAGACUUGAGUGCAGAAGAGGCGAGUGGAAUUCCAUGUGUAGCGGUGAAAUGCGUAGAUAUAUGGAGGAACACCAGUGGCGAAGUCGUCUCUCUGGUCUGUAACUGACGCUGAGGCUCGAAAGCGUGGGUAGCAAACAGG
rnacentral:rRNA from 1 species